rnacentral:lncRNA from 1 species
CUGGUCAUGUCAACCUCAGGGAAAGAACUCUCAAAGACCUCAAAUGACUGAGGAAAGAGAGCAGCAGAAAGCUGUGAGUGGGAGAAAGUUAGAACAUGCAGAUCAAAGAAGCUUCACAGGCGGGUCAAGGGGAUUUUUUAGCCAGGAACCUAAAAAGAUAGAGGAAAAUUAUUUUUCCUCUCCUACACCAUUUACUGAUACCAAAGGGCAAAAUGAUUCCAUCUUGCUUUUGAACAAACUACAUCCAGAGACAUGGCAUGGUUUCGCCUAGGCCAUGGUGUUCCAGGGCCAAAAAUUGAUCCAUAUCUCCUGAUUACCUCCAUUAGUCACUACUUGAAAUAGAGAAACCUAUAAGAAGUAGUAAAUGAAGAAGGAAAUCUCAUCUGAGAUGUUAUCUAAUACAAGAGUAGCAGUGGCUACUGUUACAAAAGAGACAACAGGUCCAGAAUGGAGUCGCUUGUGCUAAGUCCCCAUCAACAAGCCAAGACAUAUACCUAACUUAAUU